AACGGCCCAAGCAGGGGGCCAGCGGCUAACCGCUCAGGGCCUACCCCACUCCCAGGCCCCACGAGGGGAUGGCCCUCCUCCCUACUCCGCCCUUUACUGGGCUCAGUUCCUGGAGAGGGAGGUGAAGGGGAACAGCCCCAGGGCACAGGGAAGGAGCACGUUCCCACAGGCCCGGCGCCCGGUCCAGCAGCAGGAGUUUGAAUGGGGGAAGGGAGCAGGGCUCACCUGUCCAACCUGGCCUCCUAGACCUACUCUCUUCACACCGCCAACCUUGCUUCUCUCUGGCACCCUCUGAGCCUCUGGUCCUCUACACCCCAACCCAACCGUAGGACCAGCCCCCUCUCUCCCAGCCCCUUCCUCUCUACUUCCACCUCCAGUUCCUCCCCAUAACUCCACAAGGCCCUCCCCAGUCCUCUCAAGGACCCUGGGGUCCAGACUCCGAGGUCCUGGUUCCCCUGGGCUCCCUGCUCAAAGCCCGGGAGUCCUCUUCAGGGCAGCCAGCUCUGCCCUGGUGGGGUCGGAGGGUCUGACCGCUGGCAAGGAUAGGCCCGGACAAGGGUUUUGCAUUCCGGGGAGAACCAGAAUACCAGUUUCCUAGUUGCUCAUCUCAGGACUUAAUGAAGGUCAGGUUCUUUAUGUCUUGGCACAAAAGGAAUUCAGCGAGAGGCAAAGUGAUAGACAUCUGCACUCCUGGUUCUUGGGCCUCCAGACUCAGACCAAAUUGCAUCACUAGCUUUCCUAGUUCUCCAGCUGCAGACAGCAAAUCAUGGGACUUCUCAGCCUCCAUAAUUGUGCCAUAUAUAU